UUCUAAUAUGGCAGAAUAGUGCAAUGGAUUUAAACCCCAUAAAUAAAAGUUACCUUUUUUUUAGAA
rnacentral:tRNA from 1 species